rnacentral:sRNA from 1 species
GGUAACGGUAGGGUAAGGAGUGCCAAAA